rnacentral:rRNA from 1 species
GGAAUUUUGGGCAAUGGGCGAAAGCCUGACCCAGCAACGCCGCGUGAAGGAUGAAAUCCCUCGGGAUGUAAACUUCGCAAGACCGGGAAGAAUAAGUAAGGGUUAAUAUCUCUUACGAUGACGGUACUGUUUGUAAGCUCCGGCUAACUCCGUGCCGUCAGCCGCGGUAAUACGGGGGGAGCAAGCGUUGUUCGGAUUUACUGGGCGUAAAGGGCGCGUAGGCGGCCACCGCAAGUCGACUGUGAAAUCUCCGGGCUUAACACGGAAAGGUCAGCCGAUACUGCGGGGCUAGAGUGCAGAAGGGGCAAUCGGAAUUCUUGGUGUAGCGGUGAAAUGCGUAGAUAUCAAGAGGAACACCUGAGGUGAAGACGGGUUGCUGGGCUGACACUGACGCUGAGGCGCGAAAGCCAGGGGAGCAAA